rnacentral:rRNA from 1 species
CCCUUAGAUGUCCUGGGCCGCACGCGUGCUACACUGACGCCUACAGCGAGUACUUCCCAGCCCCGAGAGGCGGCUGGUAAUCAGCAAUAGGCGUCGUGAUGGGGAUAGAUCUUUGGAAUUAUGGAUCUUGAACGAGGAAUGCCUAGUAAGCGCAGGUCAUUAGCCUGCGCUGAUUACGUCCCUGCCCUUUGUACACACCGCCCGUCGCUCCUACCGAUUGAAUGGUCCGGUGAAGCGUUCGGACCGUGGCCUUUGGACGGUUCGCCGUCUGUUGGCUGCGGGAAGUUCGUUAAACCUUAUCAUUUAGAGGAAGGAGAAGUCGUAACA